GAAAGUGACGGUACCUGCAGAAGAAGCACCGGCUAACUACGUGCCAGCAGCCGCGGUAAUACGUAGGGUGCAAGCGUUAUCCGGAAUUAUUGGGCGUAAAGAGCUCGUAGGCGGUUUGUCAAGUCGGCGGUGAAAUCCCGGGGCUCAACUCCGGAUCUGCGGUGGAUACGGGCAGACUAGAGUGAGGUAGGGGAGACUGGAAUUCCUGGUGUAGCGGUGAAAUGCGCAGAUAUCAGGAGGAACACCGAUGGCGAAGGCA
rnacentral:rRNA from 1 species